rnacentral:tRNA from 1 species
GCCCCUAUAGCUUAACCCCAAAGCAUGGCACUGAAGAUGCCAAGAUGGCGCCAACCCGCCUGCGGGCA